rnacentral:rRNA from 1 species
GACAGCAGUCGCCACGGUAAAACGUAGGUGGCAAGCGUUGUCCGGAAUUAUUGGGCGUAAAGGGCUCGCAGGCGGUUUCUUAAGUCUGAUGUGAAAGCCCCCGGCUCAACCGGGGAGGGUCAUUGGAAACUGGGAAACUUGAGUGCAGAAGAGGAGAGUGGAAUUCCACGUGUAGCGGUGAAAUGCGUAGAGAUGUGGAGGAACACCAGUGGCGAAGGCGACUCUCUGGUCUGUAACUGACGCUGAGGAGCGAAAGCGUGGGGAGCGAACAGGAUUAGAUACCCCUGUAGUCCCUGUCUCUUAUAC